CUCAAGAUCCCCUCGUGACCAUACAAGUAAGGAUGAGGAGUGGGUGGAGUGAGGGGAGGUGUGGUGAGAAAGGAAAUUGUGAUGAUGAAAGCUAUACUACCUCCUGAGUUAUGGUAUACUGUUACUGUUCUUAUGGGGUACCCAAUGUAUGCUCCUUUUCAUCAAAGAGGCUAAGUCAUGUUACUUCUCAUGAUGUCAUUCCAUUCUUUCUCUCUUGAUCCUCUCUCUCUUCCUCCUUCUACUUUCUAUAGAAGAAUUACUCUAACAACUAGAUCAGUAGCGUUGCUGAGGAAAAUGACUGUUGCUAUGACAACUGUACAUGUACAUCAAUGAAGAGAUACUCAAGAAUUUUUACAUUUUUCUUUUUCUUUAUUGUUAUAAUUUUUGCAAAGCAAUUGCUUCCAUAAAAUCAACAAUAUUAA